GCGCCGGUGGUGUAAUGGCGUAGAGGAUUCCCGCCCGGUUAGAGGGAGGUGCGGGUUCGAGUCCCGCCUGGCGCU
rnacentral:tRNA from 1 species